CCUACGGGAGGCAGCAGUGGGGAAUAUUGCGCAAUGGGCGAAAGCCUGACGCAGCGACGCCGCGUGAGGGAUGAAUGUCUUCGGAUCGUUAAACUCUGUCAGCAGGGAAGAACGGUCACUGUGCUAAUCAGCAGUGAAUUGACGGUACCUGAAAAGGAAGCAAAGGCUAACCCCGUGCCAGCAGCCGCGGUAAUACGGAGGGUGCGAGCGUUAAUCGGAAUUACUGGGGGUAAAGCGCUCGUAGGCGGGAUGUCUCGUCAAGGGUGAAAUCCCCGCGCUCAACGUGGUAACUGCCUUUGAAACUGGCAAACUAGAGUGUGUGAGAGGAUAGUGGAAUUCCUGGUGUAGGAGUGAAAUCCGUAGAUAUCAGGAGGAACAUCAGUGGCGAAGGCGACUAUCUGGCACAUAACUGACGCUGAGGAGCGAAAGCGUGGGUAGCAAACAGGAUUAGAUACCCCAGUAGUC
rnacentral:rRNA from 1 species